rnacentral:rRNA from 1 species
UGGGGAAUAUUGCACAAUGGGCGAAAGCCUGAUGCAGCAACGCCGCGUGAGUGAUGAAGGCCUUCGGGUUGUAAAGCUCUGUCUUUUGGGACGAUAAUGACGGUACCAAAGGAGGAAGCCACGGCUAACUACGUGCCAGCAGCCGCGGUAAUACGUAGGUGGCAAGCGUUGUCCGGAUUUACUGGGCGUAAAGGAUGCGUAGGCGGAUUUUUAAGUGAGAUGUGAAAACCCUAAGCUUAACUUGGGGACUGCAUUUCAUACUGGAAAUCUAGAGUGCGGGAGAGGAGAAUGGAAUUCCUAGUNUAGCGGUGAAAUGCGUAGAGAUUAGGAAGAACACCAGUGGCGAAGGCGAUUCUCUGGACCGUAACUGACGCUGAGGCAUGAAAAGCGUGGGUAGCAAACAGGAUUAGAUACCCUGGUAGUCCACGCCGUAAACGAUGAGUACUAGGUGUAGGAGGUAUCGACCCCUUCUGUGCCGCAGUUAACACAAUAAGUACUCCGCCUGGGAAGUACGAUCGCAAGNUUAAAACUCAAAUGAAUUGACGGGGUCAUAGCUG